AAGUCGUAACAAGGUUUCCGUAGGUGAACCUGCGGAAGGAUCAUUACCACGUUCCAAACGUAUCCACCCACCGAGUAUUGUUUUCACGCUCCCACGAGCGAGACUGAGCUGACAGAGCACCAGUAUGCGUGCGGAGCCUGCGCAAGCGGGCUAGCGACUGCUCUCACUAAGGCAACUUAGACAGCUGUAUCUCGAUCGAUGGCUCUUUCAGACGACUCGACUCUCCGACACCGAGACGAGUCGUUUGAAGCACACAUUCACACUAAUCACACUUUUUGCUAGUUGACUUUUUACUGUUGCGCUUAGCUUCGGCUCGACGCACACGUUUAAUUAUUUGAACGUUAAAGAUACAACUCUUAGCAAUGGAUAUCUUGGUUCUC
rnacentral:misc_RNA from 1 species